rnacentral:rRNA from 1 species
GACGAACGCUGGCGGCGUGCCUAAUACAUGCAAGUAGGACGCAGUUGCGAACGGGUGAGUAACGCGUAGGUAACUACCUAGUAGAGGGGGAUAACUAUUGGAAACGAUAGCUAAUACCGCAUACUAGUAGAUGGACCUGCGUUGUAUUAGCUAGUAGGUAGGGUAAUGGACUACCAAGGCAAGGCUAGAUAGCCGACCGGAGAGGGUGAUCGGCCACACUGGGACUGAGACACGGCCCAGAUUCCUACGGAAGCCAGCAGUAGGGAAUCUUCGGAAAUGGACGAAAGUCUGACCGAGCAACGCCGCGUGAGUGAAGAAGGUUUUCGGAUCGUAAAACUCUGUUGUUAGAGAAGCGGUAUCUAACCAGAAAGCCACGGCUAACUACGUGCCAGCAGCCGCGGUAAUUC